rnacentral:misc_RNA from 1 species
UAUUCAUUGUGGCAAUAAGUUACGGUAAUUAUGCAAAAAUGUGGCCUCGCGGAUUUUCAUCGACUUAAGAUGGAUCUGCACGGAGAACCGCAUUAAUCAUCAAAGGGUGCGCGCGCAGCUUAAUGUUUGUUAGCGCGCAAUCCAGUUGACGCGGUAAUAUUCAACUUGAGAAAUAUCGUUUAAAAAGGCUCAUUCGUUUCCGGGACGACUGGUGUUUGAUAUCGUUCUUCGACUUCCGUAAGACGAGUGAACGUUCAAUUAAGAGUAGCUAAUGGCUUCCGACUUGACCCUUAUCUGCCUUCUACCA